AAAACCAGUUGCAAUCAACUGACGAGAUAUCUUCUUUCAUAAUAUCAUGCAUUUAAUAUUUAAAUAUAUAUAUAGCAAGAUUUGAGUUACCAAAAGUAUGUAUAUAUUAUAACGAGAAUAUCUUAAAAAUUUAUUAGAAGAUAUUCUAUCUCAUAGCUUCUCUUGAAAUCUAGGUCAUUUAGAAAAUUAAACUAAUUUAUUAUAUAAUAUCACGCCACCCCCAUUAGUUUCACGCGUCUAUCUUUUAAGUUUUCAUAUGUUUUUGAUCGUUCUAAUUUAAAUUCUACUUUUGUGAUCUUGUGCAGGUGUAUGAUAAUCAAUAUGUAACUCAUAGACGGGAACACCAUUACUGGUAAUUUUAUUGGGGAUUCUUCUUCUUCGUUUAUUUUUGUUCUCUUCCUCUCCAUGUUGUAUCUCUAUCUAUAUUUUUGAAUCAGUAGUGAUUCAACUAACAAAAAAAGAGACGACUCUGUUUAUCCAAGAACUGAUCAUCCCUUUCGAAAAAGGUAAUUCUUUUUUUUAUAAAGUUCAAUCACUUAGCAAGAAUAUAAUAUAAGAUGUGUAUGCUAAUCAAGUACAAUUUAUUUAUUGUGCGUGAUCCUCUUCAGGUACGUCUGACGUAGGUAAUCUCAAAGCUUUUUAAAAACUUUGAAACUCAUUGACGUUGUCCUAUCAAUUAUAUAAUUUUUUUAUCUUUUGGGGAUUGUUUACAUCUUUAAAUAUUUUUGUUAGAAUUACCUCUUUUCUGACUCAAGGCUUAGAGAAGGAAACCGUAAAUCAUCUCUACUGUUACAAUGAAACCAAUGAUAAUAAAUUUCAGGUAAUUCAAAUCUCUCUUUUAUAUUUCAUGGCUGAUUUUUUUAUUGGGGUUAUGCGUGAAAUAUUUGUUUUUUCUCAAUUAUAUUUUUCUGAUGUUUUAAGAUUAGUGUUAAAUGUGAUCGUUUGAAGCAUAAUGCAUUCUGAGAACACACCUCCAUGAUAAACACUUCUAUGUAAAUUGUGUCAAUUAUGUUAGUGAUUUUGCAUCUGAGAAUUGUGACUGAUGUUCCAAGAGAGAAAGCGUAUCAUCUCAAACCGAGAUUGUUGGGAAAGAUAAUUGGUUUAUAGAUGUAAUUGGAUAAUUGACAUCUAAAGGAUACAUUUUUUUAGAUAGUACCAAACAGUCUUUUUAAACUUUUUGAACUCUAACUUUUUGAACUAACAGAAUAAUCAUGCUUAACCUAUAAGCAUUUCAAAGAGUUAUGUGUCUAAAGGAUACGCUUUUUCAGAUAUAAAUGAUACGUUUUAUUAGAUUGUACCAAGCAGUCCUUUUAAACUCAAACAAUGCCAUGUUAUGAGUUGUAUACAUUGUAUUGACUUUUUUAAACAAGUUUUUUACUUUUUUUUUUUUAGUUUCACCUGAUAAGAAGUUUGAAUUACAGACUUGACAUUUUAAAAUUUAUAUUAUUUGUUUGUGUAAUGGUGCAGAGGUUUCAAUGAGAUCGGCUUAUCGUUCUUCCAAGAAAGUAAAAGACUAUGAUAAGCUUGAAGCUGAAGUGAAGAAGAAUAAAAGGAUGAUAAGUCUGAAGAAGACGCUGCUUUGAACAAGUUCUUCCGUGAGAUAUAUUUAAAUUCUGAUGAGGAUAUGAGGAGUGCUAGAGCAAAUCAUUUGUAAGUUAUUCCUAUUUAGUCUUUCUUUUUUCAUGGAGAUUACAACGUUUUUGACAUUUUGAUUGACUUUUUUGCAGUUUUGCACAAUCAACAGGUGAAAUCUAUUGGGACAGUGCUUUCAAUAGACUGGAAAGAUGUUGGUACUAAGAAAAUCGAGAGUAUUCUUCAUGAUGAUCUGGCGCUCAAGACAUGGAAAAUAUUAUCUUACUAGUAUUAUCCCCGGUGCUACGCACCUACAAUUUUAAUGUUUUCUAAACUAUCUGAUCAUAAAAUUGUAAUGAUUAUCAAAAUAAAUUAUUGUUUUAUUUAUCUAUUUUCUUAACCUAUAUAACAUAUUAAUACAUAAAUUUAGAAAUACUGAACCAACUUCUAUGAUGUUAGUUUUGAAAAAUAUAUUAUAUUGAAGAAAACUAUUAAACAUACUUAAAGAUAUCUAAGUUUUGUUUAUUUAAACAUAUUUUUAGAUAUCAUAACUAAAAAUGUAGAUGUGUUUAUCUUUGUCCAUAAGAAAGCUUUCCGAUUUUUCAUCAUUUGUGAAAGUUUAAGCUAGAAAAUAGAAGAAUAAAAUCUUCAACUUUGAAUCAUGAAGAAAAAUAUAGGGGUAAUAUAAAUGUGUUCAAUAAAAGAGAAUAAACGAUUUAAAUAAUUAAUUUUUGCCACAUUCAAAACUAAAAUAAAACCAUAAAAAGAUGACUGCCGAGGAAGGCAAGAGAAAGAAAGAUUAUCAUUUCUUCUCAGUAUUCUUUUUACACCAAAAAAAGAGAAUGCAAAUAUAGUUUUAAAAAAAAAUGGAGAGAUGAAGCAGUUACAUAUUGAAAGAGUUACUAAAUUCAUUUUUGUACGUGUGAGAGAAAAAUAUGAAUUUUUGCAGUUAACCUAAUAUUUGAAGUCAAUAGAACGUGGCAUGAUUUUGAUUUAUUUGAAUUUUGUAAAACAAUUACACAUGUCAAAAUUUUAUUGCUUGAGUGACUUGUGCUUUAGUAUAUAAGGGAUAUGAUGUGUUGGUUUUACCUUAAUCUAGACAGAACUCGAAGCAUUGAUCUUAAAGUCUGGUUUCUCUACUUAAUGGAUUUAAGGUACUUUGUAUUUUUCAAAAUUCAUAUUGUUUAUACGAGACACUAAAUUUUUUAAUCUAAACGUUCUAAUGUAUUCUUUGUUCAUAUGAACAUAGUAUAAAUAUCAAUAUGUAACAUUGAAUCUUUCAUAUUAACCACAUACAUAUAACAUAAGUAUUAUAUAAUUGUAAUUAUAUAAUUAUCAAUUUAAUAUUAAUGUUAACGUCCGCACAAUAUAUGUUUAUAAGGACCAACUUAUUUUUCUAACAAUUUUAAAAAUUAUUUUCGUAAUGACACGUGGCUACGAAAAAAAAUAUUUUACACGUGGCAACGAAAUGAAAUAUUUUAAUAAAAUAAAAAGAAUAAUUUCAUAAAUUAUUAUAUAUUGAUUCAAUUUUAUAUUUAUAUAUUGAUUUUGUUGUAAAUGAGAUGUGUGUCACAAAAUAUAUCAUGUUAUGGAACAAAAAUGUCUCUGGCGAAGAAAAGGGCGAAACUAUCGAUGAAGAUCGACAUGAGAUCUCCGGUUACGGCUGAGAUCAGAGUGAGUUGGGUUCGACUUGAGAAAUAUGAGAAGAGGGGAUCCAGUAUUUGUGGUUUUCGGAUGGUUUGGCUCGAGAUUUUGAGGCUCUGUUUUAGGAAAUAGUGAAGGAUUUGCAGUAACGUAAGAUCUUCCAGUGCUUGGAGGGUCCUACUCCUAUGGAAACAAUCUACGGGAUAUACGGAAUCUGGGUUGGUAGAGAGGUUGAGAAUGAAAGCGGAAGAAACUGCUGAGGUUUUAUGGGAUCGCAAUAACUCGAAGAACUUUGUGAUUUGGAUACGAGGGAUAAGCGGUGUUUUGCGGAUAGCGAUUUCGAUAGAGGAGUCCAUAUAUUUUCUUAAGGUAAAACUGUGGAAAGGAUUAGAGGAAAGGAGUAUUUUGAGAGGAGAGGACAGGAUUCGUGGCCCAUUCAAAGAUUGGAAGAUCUAUUGUGGCAAAAAAGUUUUGUUACAGGGUAGGACUUGCAUUGUGAAUGAGAGACCAAUGAUUCUCUGCGGUAAAGAUUAGACAAAUGAAUGACAAUUUCUAGAAUCCACAUGUAAGGCAAGCUGAUCAUGGUCCUAUUUUUACAAUUUAUAUUGUGCUGGAUAAUGUUUUGUCAUGUAUGAUACACAUGGAUUGCAAUAUUGAUUUAGUUAUGUUAUGGGGAGGGUUGAUAAUCAAAUAAUUCUUCUCUGUUUGGGGUUUAUUGAAGAAAUUACAUUAUUUCGGAUUUUUCUUGGCUUAUUAGCAAGCUUUUGAUUUUUUUUCAAUCUUCUUAUAAGCUAUGGAAUAAAAUUGGCUCUUUUUGGGUUCUGGA